rnacentral:lncRNA from 1 species
CCAGAGGCUGGGUCUAAUUAGUUGAGAAGCAGUGACACCCCCAACCACUCCCCAAACAGGCUGGCUCCCGUCUCCAGGCCCCAAGGAGCCACACCUGGACCAGACCCCAGGAAAGACAUGUGGUGGAAACCCUACGGCCCUGGAGCCCAAGGAGAGCAACGGCUGUAACAAGUGCACAGGCAAGGGCACUAGCUGGUGGGAGCCACCCCGCCAUGCUGAUGUCAGAGAAGCAAGAACUCUGGAGAAGCAGCCUCCUGGGACCAGAGGAGGGCCAGCAGCAGGCAGCCCGGAGACAGAACUCUCACCCACGCCUCUCCAAGCCUCCCGACAGAAGACAGAGGUCCCCCACAGCCAGAGACAUUUCCUGAAGACAUGGGGAACACAGAGGCAGAAACAGCCCAUCCACCCAGGAGCUGUCCCCCACACUGCCGGGAGCCGGCACCCAGAGCCGCCAGGUAAAACUGAGGCCACCUGGUUCAACAUCGCCUUUCAUAGAAGGGGAAGCAGCCACAGAAAGAAGGGCCUGGUAAGAAGUGGAACCUGGGACCCCCAAGCGGUGUCUCUCAUCCUGACUGGGGAUCCAGAGUAGGA